UGGGGAAUAUUGCACAAUGGGCGCAAGCCUGAUGCAGCCAUGCCGCGUGUAUGAAGAAGGCCUUCGGGUUGUAAAGUACUUUCAGCGGGGAGGAAGGGAGUAAAGUUAAUACCUUUACUCAUUGACGUUACCCGCAGAAGAAGCACCGGCUAACUCCGGGCCAGCAGCCGCGGUAAUACGGAGGGUGCAAGCGUUAAUCGGAAUUACUGGGCGUAAAGCGCACGCAGGCGGUUUGUUAAGUCAGAUGUGAAAUCCCCGGGCUCAACCUGGGAACUGCAUCUGAUACUGGCAAGCUUGAGUCUCGUAGAGGGGGGUAGAAUUCCAGGUGUAGCGGUGAAAUGCGUAGAGAUCUGGAGGAAUACCGGUGGCGAAGGCGGCCCCCUGGACGAAGACUGACGCUCAGGUGCGAAAGCGUGGGGAGCAAACAGG
rnacentral:rRNA from 1 species